rnacentral:lncRNA from 1 species
UCCAUAGACACAGGCUGCAGAGCCUCGCCUCUAGUAAAACCACCACAAUGGCCCUGUCAUUUACUCUGCUUGACUGUGUUUCUGGUACUUCUAGCUCUUACAACAACCCUAAAACAUAGGCAUUAUGAUCCCAUGUCACAGAUGGGGGACGCACAGUUUAUGGUGUAUGCUGAAGCCACCCCUGUGGUGGCAGGGACCUGUCCUGUCUGGCUCCAGGCCAGCUGCUUCCCACCACUCCACACCCACAUUCUCAUGGCCUGCGCUUAGGUCACUCGGGCCACAGGCCUGGCUCUGCCCUCCUUCCUCCACUCUGAAGAAACAGCUCAAGCCAUUUCACAGAUGUGGCAGGACAGGCUGACAGCUAGUGCCAUUCAAAACACUUUCUUGGGCCAGAAGUGGCAGCUCAUGCCUGUCAUCCAUCAAGUGUAUAUAGAGUACACUUGAUGUACUCUGUAUACAGGUUUUGGGGUGAUAGAUACAAAAAGAUAAAGACCCUAUCUUCAAGGACAUGACAACGUGGUCUGAGUAGAAAAGCAAACAGUGAUACAGUGUGUAAAGGAGCAUAAAAGAGGUAUGGCCAGUGGCACUGGGAGUGCAAUGGAGCUUUAUUGAACAGAAGUAUACUAUCUGCUGGAGAUAAUUGUAGAUCAUUUUUCUACAGACACUAACCUUUGCUCAUUUUAUGUUUUUACAUUGUAACUGAUGAAAAAUCAUUUAUUUCAAAUACUUUUAAAAUAUUGAAGUCUAACAUACAUACCAAAUAAGUAACAUACAUGAACAUUUUUAAAUAAUUAUUAGGAGAACCAGAAUAAUUAUUAAGAUAACUCUACCCAGGUAUAGAACAUUACCAGUAUCCCACAAUCCUCCAAUGUACACUUUCCCUCCCCACUGUUGGAAACAAUCACCCUGACUUCUGUGAUAAUCAGUUCGGUGAUUUUUCAUUAUAGUUUUAUCACUUAUAUAUCUAUCCCUAAACAAAAGGUACAUUUAUUU